rnacentral:rRNA from 1 species
UUAAAGGAAUUGACGGAGGGGCACACAAGGAAUGGAGCCUGCGGCUUAAUUUGACUCAACACGCGAAAGCUUAUCUGGCCCGGACACAGGAAGGAUUGACAGAUUAAGAGCUCUUUCUUGAUUCUGUGGAUGGUGGUGCAUGGCCGCUCUCAGUUGGUGGUGUGAAUUGUCUGAUUAAUUUCGAUAACGAUCGAGACUCUAGCCUGCUAAGUAGACGAUCCGAUCAGUCCCGUCGGACGUCUUCUUCUUAGAGGGACAAACGGCAUUGAGCCGCAUGAGAGGGA